AAGCCCAGAAGGCGGCGGACACUCGCAUAAAGUCACGCAGUAGUACUCGGAGCCCGGGGUAGAACCUGGACUUCAAAUCUCUGCACUCCCGGCCGGGUGGUGGGCGCAUAUCCUGGGUAGCCUCUAGGAAGCGCUAGACACAUGGAACCAAGGCAGAUUCAGCCUGGCAGCUGGCAAGUCAUGGAGCACUGCCUGUCCAUCUGCGAGCUAACAACAGUCGCGCUGGAAGUCAACAAGGGAAAUGGAAAGGGAGAGACCCAGCCUCCACAGGGGCUCACGCCCUGGGACCUGUGCCAGUGUGAACAAGGUUUUCCGGCCCCAGGAAGCAGGCCUAAGUACUCUCAUUUCAUCACUGAGGAGCCUGAGACGUUCAGUCAUUGAUUGGACAGCCCUCACCAUUCAAGCCCUCCUUGGUUUACAGCAGCAGAAAGAGAGGCUCUGAAGGUUCUAGCCAGAGGAAGCUGCAGCCAGGCCUGGCAGUCUCCCCUGCUCCCUUCCACCAGCUUGGUUCCUGUUUCUGCUGGUCCUGGGAGCCCCCAGCAGAUGGACUGCCCUUAUCAGCCGGCUCCAGGCCAGAGGAGGAAUCCUCCGGUCACGUGUGGCUCUCUGGAGGGAGAGAGACCUCAUAAAUACAUACAGCCCACGCAGAGGAAGGGGGGAGGGUCAAGGGGAAAGAAACCUUGACAUUCUGGCGACUGGGCCAGGAUUAAAGUCCACCAGGCAUAGUCCUUAUUGGCUAUUUCUAUGAGGAAUCUCAAAUCCACAUGGCUUCCCUGGAUGACAACGCUGACUUUGACUAGCCCUGGGAUCUGGGGCAUUCCCAGUGUGCUGCUGGCUUGAUCCAGGCCUAAUCCUUUGCCCAGGACUGACCUUUCACAGUUUACAGAGCACUUUAUCUCCUGGCUCAGUGAAGUCUCACAGAACCCUCCAGAGAGAAGGGAGUUUAUCAUCACCCUCAAUUUACAGAUGAGGAAGCUGAGGCUGCGAUUGUAA
rnacentral:lncRNA from 10 species